rnacentral:lncRNA from 1 species
UUCCGAAACUGGCGUGUUGGGCUGUAUACUGUGUAACUUGCAUUUAAGCUUUGUAUUAUGUAAUCUCUUUUUGAUGCCUCCAUGAAUGUCCCUACAUUGCUAACACCCCAUGUUGGUGCUCCUGUAACAUAAUAGGAUGCAGGUCCAAGAUUGGCAUCAUCAGGCAGAUACACGGAACCAUCUGAUCCUGAUAUUGAACUACUGCUCCCGCAGUCCACAGCAAAGGAGGUAGCUGCAAGCAUGUUAAAUUAUUUAAUACUUAUGUUAAUUUAGCUAAGUAGACGCACGUUGCAGAAGCUAGAAGCUCACUUUGUGGAGAGCCAAGAAAGCAGGGUGUGUCUCGCUGAAGGCACUCCAGCCCCGAAGGUAAUAAGACACUGCAGAUGUCAAACAUUGACAUUUUGAAUUCAAAAUACGAGCUUAGAGAACAAUAAUUGUACAUGAAGAUUUUGAGGAGCUAUUCGAAUGUAAACUGACCUGUUAUUGGAGUUGCUGACCACGAAAUUGUUUGCCACCAAAUUCCUAUGUACAAUGAAACAUGGAAAAAAGGCACCGUUCAUACUUCAGAGCAUAUUGAGGGUUUGUUUUAUAAGAUAAAUAAAAGCAGGGACAAAUAACCGAUUUAUUUUUUCAGCUAAACUGUAAUGAAAAGUAAUUCUCCUUCAUUAAAGAUUUGGAAUCAUAUGUGGCUUAGAUUCUGAAUCAUAGAUGACGUCAAAUGCAAAAAAGAAAAAGAAAAAAAGAAAAAAUAAAUAUGAUCUAGGUGCAGCAAAAGCAGCUUUUUAGAUGUAAUUGAUAUUAAAAAAUGCUAGUUUAAUACAUGUGUAUGAUAUUGGAUUAUCUUUAAAAUAAUAGUAAUAGGGCUGAAUUUUCGGUCAGUCAAUCAAGCUUGCAAAACUCAGCACUUACAAUGUCAAAUUCGGACUAACCCAGGAGGGAAAGUUUCCUGAUAGCUGGUUGUAGGAAAAAUCUCUACACAAAAGAAAGCAUGUAAAUGUUAUAGAUAAACGCCUUCCUAAUUUUACUUCACAAAUGAAAGUGGACAAACAUACAAGUUUUUAAGAGAAGUUCCUAUAGAACUUGGAAGGCUUCCUGAAAGACUAUUAUUCCCGAGAAACCUAGGCAGACCAAAUUUGCGCAUUAGCAAGAUUAAUGAUCAUUGUCAUCAGAACCUAGAAAUAAGUAUCAGAAGGCAAGAUAAACCAUACAAGAAGCUGAGUGAAUUCAGAUUCAGCAGAGCUUGUGGUACUUGGCCAGUGAUAUUGUUAAAACUCAAAUCCCUAUAACAACAGAACAAAUGAGACUAGGAGAGAAAGGGGUCAUCAAACAAUGCAUAAUCCACAGCAGUUCAUUAAAGCAUCUAGCAAAACAUGUAGUUGACUGGAGUUUACGAAGAAACAAAAUGUCUUACAGUAGGGUUAAUGUUGCAAACUGUGAAAAGUUUACUGAUGCCAGGUUAUCAGAUAUCCUGCAGUUCCUCAAAACUCUGCAAUGAAACAUGUCAAGAGUUUUCGGAUUUAACAAUUGGUUGCACUACAGAAAAUAUUAAGAUGUAGUUUGAGUCAUCAAAUGAAUGGCAAGUUAUGCAUACAAGGUGUUCAAAGAUGUCAUGUUACUAAUGAAUGCCAGUGAAGAACUUCCAUUUACUAUGUCACCUAUUCGUCUGCACCACAGAAAUAAAUAGUUCAUUCUUCUGUUCUGCAACCUUAAUAUUUGACAAUGAUACUUAUCUACUCCCGCCAUCAGUAGUCACUUACAAGCUUGUCAGUUGGACAAGAUUAGAAAGAGUGGUUGGAAGUGGACCUUGAAAUGAAUUGCCUUGAAACCGUCUGCAAAAUUAUAGUUGUUGUUACUAGUGAAGAAAGAAGGAAGAUCCUGCUGGUACAAGGGUCACUUUCUUGGUAAAAAAAGUAAAUAGAUUUAUGCAGAUAGAAAUAUGAUCUGUUCCAUACAAAAAAUAAUUAUUAGAAAAAUCAAUUCAAUAUUUUUAACACUAGUAUUUUUUUAAUGGAACAGGAGGGGUUAGGACCCCUACUGGUUAUAUAUUCAGGAAAAAGAGUAUUUUACAGAGCAAUAGGAGAAAAAGGAAAAUUACAACAGAUUGUCAAGCCAUUCUGUGAUUCUAGGGAAAGACUUAUUUUUUGCUCGAUGGAUAACCAUAUCAAAUUCAUACUUGAAAAUGUUUCUGCAACUCUCAACUGAAACUUGUUGUUGCCUGGAGAUUGCAUUGUUCCUUGUUGUCCAGAAUAUGUGGAACAGCACCGCAUUAUCAUGAAUAGUGAAAAAAUGUAAUAUUUACUAAAAUGAUGAAACCACCUCACAUCUGACCUUAAGUGGAUUAUUUUAAUAGGCCACUGAAUGGAGAUUUAGCAGAGUAAAAACUACACUUAGCUAAUACCAUCUCAUUUAUGAGCACAAUGAGCCAGGGUUCAAAAUGAAUUUCAUACUUGAGAACUGUUGCAAACUGUACACAAUGUCUUUAAAGAAAUUAUCAUCACCAUCUGAAAAGUAUAAGUUGUAAAUCUUACAGUUCUAAUAAAUUACUGAAGCUCCCAAUGUAAUCUGGUAUUUGCCCAGUAAAAUCAUUAUCUGAUGCCCACCUAAUCACAAAUAAGAAAAACACAUAAGGUUAAAUGAAUGAUACUGUUGACAAAACAUCUUUUAUAGGCAUACAAUAUUUUCAUGCUUGUAAGCUUAGAAAAUGAUGGUGGUAAUGGACCACUUAAGCCAGAGCUGUCAAUAUAUCUGCAAGACAGAAAUAAAAGAAUAAGAAUGUUAACAUGGUUUGGCAGAAGAAAAAGGUAAGGACUACAGGGUGCCCAAAAUUAAUCAAAAUACGCACAGUUGCUCAAGUUUAACCAUGUUACCCAGUUCGGGAGGAAGGGAUCCAUUUAAGUUGUUCAUGCUUAUGCCCCUGAAAUCCCAGAAAAAAAUAUCAGGUUAGUAGCAAAAGAUUUGUGACAGGAAACUUUCUUAUCUUUCGAAGGAUGAAUACAUUUCUCGACAGAGGUCAACUAGUAGAAGGAAUGAAGGUGUGUUUUUUCUAUAAGCUUGAUGUCGAUAGCAUGUAUUCUCAACUUAAACUGUUCUUUAUUUGUUGAUUCUUACACAUUUAAAUAAAUUUAUAGGUACGUGUACAAAGCCAAGUCGAGAUUUAUAAAACUUUGUAGUUUGGACAUUAGCAAAGAUUUCUACUGAAAUAGGGUCAUGAAACAGAGAAGGUAAAUUUCUUACAGCGAUAUAAGAUUCACAAGCUUCCCAAGCUCCUUUGGAACAGAUCCAGAUAAUGCAUUAAUUGCAAGACUCCUUUUAUGUUCAAGGGAGAUAAUUUAAGUUUCAAUGUUACCCAAAACAUGUGAUGUAGUAAUGUUAGGUUCUAAAUCUCACAUGUAUUGCAAAGCAGUCAGUUCCCCAAGGAACGAUGGUACAGGCCCUGUUAAGUAAUUUUGCAUUAAGUUCCUGAAAAAAACGUCAGAUCAGAUCAGAUGUAAACGAAAAAGGAUGGCUCUCAGUAGGUAUUAUAUUUAAAGAAAUUUUGAGCUUGAUGCGGGAGGCUACUACAAAGCAAUCCGCUGCUAUGAUAAUAUGAUAUGCUGUGGAACUGCGGAAAAUGACAAAGUCCACCGAUAAAUUGCGACUAAACAAUCUUCAUAUACACUUGGGAUACUUUGGCUCACUGACGAUUUCAAGAAAGUUGAGAAUUCAUACAAAUUGGUCAAGUGCGUGAGGUUCCUCAGCUCUUCUGGUAUAGGACCUACCAGAUUCAAUGCGUACAUUUUCCUGCAGUAAUAACAGUGAAGCACCCAUCAGCUCACACCAUCUCAAUUUAGCCUUCAUGGAUGUUCGUCAUCAGACAAACACCACUAGGUUAUGGAGCGCCGUCAAAUAACCGCACAAGCAAUAGUUGCAGAGAUAAGGACGAUGCACUAGCUUGCCACACUCUGAGUGCACGAACUGCCACCUCAGGUGGGCAAAUUAGAUCAUCCAGCAACUAAUGGUGGGCGUACGGAUAGGAAGCGUGAGACACUUACAGCUUGGUGAUGUGGCAGACGGUGUUGUUCUGGCCGGAGCACUUGCACUGGAUGGCCGGGUUGAAGUUCAUGUCUGAGUCGAUGUUGGUGUCGUCCGUGGCGGCGCCGGUGCAGGGGUCGCCGCUGAUGUUCCAUGCCGAAGACGCCGUCUGGCCGAGCUUGUCGAACACCGCAUUCACCGCCGCCGCUGCAAAACCGAAAACGGGUUCAUACUUCACACACAUCCCAAAGAAGCAAUCACCGACUAACCUUUACCGACCACAGAGAAUAUAUAAAAUAACAGAUCACCCUCAGGCACUCAACGCGAACUCUAGGCAAAAGUGGUGAAUCUAGUAGUGUACAGUGAUAGCUAGUCUUAUAAUACAUUAAAAGCAUUAUAAGUACCCUAAAAGCUUGGUGACAUAGUAACUUUUUUUUUUCUUUUUUAAUAAAAAAUAUAUAUCUAGUAGGAGUCUUAGCCCCACCUGUUCCUUAAAAAAAAAUACCAAGACUCUAGCUGUCCUACCUCGGGGCUUUCUUAUUUUUUAAAAAAAUAAAGGCAACGGGUAAUAAUACGUUUGGUUCCACGGACUAAAGUUUAGUCCCUAUCACAUCAAAUGUUUAGAUACUAAUUAGGAGUUAAGCUAAUUAUAAAACUAAUUGCACAGAUGAAGGCUAAUUCGCGAGACGAAUGUAUUAAGCCUAUGUCAAAUCAUGGACUAAUUAGGCUUAAUAGAUUCGUCUCGCGAAUUAGCCUCCAUUUGUGCAAUUGGUUUUGUAAUUACUCCUAAUUAGUAUCUAAACAUUCAAUAUGACAGGAACUAAACUUUAGUUUGUGACAAUGAAUACGACAACUAGCAAGUAACUACCACGACAAGCAGCCAUAAGGUGGUUGAAGCUGCACAACAAGUCAACAACUAGCUCUCUAAAGAAGGUUGAUUUUUAGGGCAGUCCCAAACCAUAGUUUCUAUGGGUAGUUUCUAUGUUGACCUAUCACCAAGAUGCCACUUGUAGAUCUAAUCUCCCCAACCCAUAGUUUCUAUGGGUAGUUUCUAUGUAGAGCAAAAUUUCAUGAUUUCACGCAAGCACCACAAGCAAAGCUCGGUCAGCUGUCGCAAGCAACCGCGUAGCCUUCAUGCUGCCACAGUCCGAGCCAUUGAAACAAAAUAAUUCUUUCACAGCUGCUAUAAGAUCGAUCGACCUGGAAAGCGCCGCCAAGAGACGAUGCAGGCCAAAAUGCAGGAGCGAGAUGAGUGCUGGUUCGAUCAGUGCCUGGACAAAGUGCCAAAGUGGCGCUUGAAGCAACGGACGGAGAACUGGCGCCUGCAGAAGCAACUGCGGUAGCACCAACAACACGUCUGGAACUUGAAGAGGGCUUCCUCGAUUUCUUUUGAUGUACGCCUUUCUUCUCCAAUCGAUCCUUAGAAGCGGCGCGUGUGGAAUUGCUGGCGGAGGCUUGGUGCGCGGCCGCGCACGGGGGUGGCCAGCGGCGUGAGGCGGACACAGGCGCCGGAAAUUGGCACGCGCGAGCGAGGGAGGGGAUGGCCGCGGCGCGCGCGUGAGGGAGGGUCGCGACGCGGCAGUAGCAGGCGCGCACGGAGCCUGGGGUUGGGUCGCGGCGCACAGCGGAUCGGGAAGAUGGGCAAGAAAACGAGGAAGGAAACGAUAACGCUGGCACAACGCGAUUACGGCGGUAUCUACGCACUUUGGUGCGCGAGCCGACUCGGUUUCUCACAUGAGAAAAACGAUUUCUUGCCCUUUCUUCGUUAAAUCACCUGCCACAUCGUUAGAUCGCUGAUAUGGUACUGUAUUGAAUGAUAUAGAAAUUGGAGGGUUGGGAGUGCCCUUAAUAUUUUCUCGCUUGGAUCCCAAUUUCACCUCGUGGGCUUGCUCUGUUCGAUGUUUCCUCACGUGGGACUAGCGUUGAACCACAAGAGUUUCUGACUUAUUCGUGGGCAAAACAUGGAUGAGGUCAAAAGGCGAAAAACCAUAAUAUCAUACCAUUAAACGCGCCCCUGUUGCCCUUCUACCCGAAACAUUUGGAACGAGAUAGUUUCUUGGACGAAUCGGGCAGAUGAUUCUCUGGAACAGAUCAGGGAUUGUACAGAUCAGGGAGAUGAAAUUCCAACAGCAAAGGUGGCCAUGAUGCCGGUAAGAAUUCGACUCGAUCGAGCUGAUUUUUCAAGAACUUACUUGCAGGGGAUAUUAUCUUAAGAACGUGAGGACAUUGCUGACAGCUAGCAACCUCAAACUGAGAGGCGCCUCCCAGGAAAAGAAACAAAGCAAAAGGCAAGAACAAACUUAAUUACAAAUAUACAAUCGAGCUCAUCAGAUAGAACACCUCGAAAAUUAUCUUUUUAUCGCAGGAGCGCUGAAUAGGACUUACCUUCAGUUGGAUCUGUCCUUGUUGGUGGUGCUUGCUGAGCUUUGGCCGACGCAGCUAGGAGAAGCAGCGCGGAGAGCACGUAGCCACGGAGGGAAGAACUCCGUGUUAACCUCAUCUCCCUCUUCCUAACUGCUCUCGCUUAGCUUGGCCGUGGCCCUUCCGAGGAAAGCAAUCUUGUUCCGUGUCCAAAAAAUCUGCUGAUUUCAUCAUCAUAGAAGGAAAGCAAAGCAAAUAAAGCAGCAGUCAAAGGCACACGACUGAUUGGGGAUACGCGGUCGUUUGGCAACAUUAGUACUGAAGACGACUGCAUGACUGACUGACGUUCUCAAGCUUUGGAUUCAUCCACUCGAACCAUUCAAGACUGUCAUGGUCUAGAUAAUUAAGGCGAUUUCCCAGGAUGGGAUGUUUGCUAUGGACAGAAGCUGGAACAAUUCAACGAAGUAAUAAUAAAGGCCAACCACUUCCGAUACUGACACAUAUACAUCUCAGAGUUCUAACUUUCGCCGUGCGGCUGCUUUUGGUCUGAAGUGUCAACUACUAGUUCGCACAUGCAUAAUCAGUCCAGUUUACACCACGGGAAAUCAAUUUCAUGAAGAUGAAAAAACUACUAGGUACUUCUUCCGUUUCAAAAUGUUCGGUUUUUAAACUUUUUAGAUACAUAAAUUUUGCUAUGCACCUAAAUAAUUGAGGUAAAAAUGAUUGUUAAGUAGCAAUGGGUACUUCCACCACGUACUUUUUUAAAAAAAAUUACACUGUUGAUCCAAGUAAUGUAAUUAAAAAAUAAAUUAAAUUAGUACCGGUCCCACUGUUUUUGUACUUGGUCUCCACCUAUUUGGUACUUCUUGUUACUUUUCUCUAGAUACCUCUAGGUACUUUCUACCUUUCCACCGCACGAUUUUUCUGGAUGGACGGCUCUUAUUUUUUCCAAUUAUUGAAAAUAUUUUCAUCAACAAAACCAAAACGACCUACAUUUUGAAAUAAAGGGAGUAACUAAUAGUCUAAUACCUUAGCAUUGACAAGGGCUUGUUCAACGAGAGUGGAACGACAUAGACACAAUCUCCUUGCAUUUAUCGAAAAUUUAGCAUUUUUUCCCUUCUGUUCUGCUGAAGAAUUUGGCCUAAUCCUAUGAACCCAGGCAAGUGCCUACGGAGAGAAUUUGAUGCCAGGUCCGCCAUUGGAUCAAAGUAGGCACGGCAAUGGAAUAAUGGAUAAUAACCGUCAUAUGCAGUGAUAUAAGGCUUAUAAUCCACUAUGCAAAACUAACAAUCAGGGCACCAACUGUGAAGUGUGUAUCUACACACAACGUAUUCCGUGGAUAUGGCUGCUAGGGGGGCGAGCCUUGGGUGCGAAAGAGGGCCAUUUGGAUGGUGCACCUAACGAAUCUUACACACAUCCAAAUCUUCAAAGUGCAUCCACACCAAAUAAUAUAAUCCGUUGCUUGACAGAAGCUUAUUUGAAUCUGAUGAUCAUUGACCAUCAUCACCGGCCUUCCUCGAUGAGGGAGCUCAGGUACGACGAUGUCGAUGCCGACAUGCCGACCACCUCCCUCUUGCUCGAGCUCGCCUGCCACUCGGUGACGUAGCUGGGCUUCGUGACUGCCUCUGGCACUUCGAUGUCUUCUGUGAGCAUGGACACCACCUUUGACAUGGAUGGCCGCUGCCGAGGUGAGCUCUGGAUGCAGAGGAGGCCGACGCGGAUGGCACGGAGAACCUCGUCGCUGACGAAUUCCAUGAGACUCGGGUCCACGACGUCGAGAGGACGGCCUUCCUCGUACAAUUGCCAGACCUGAAAGCGUAGGGCUCAUGCAUGUAGGAGAACUUCACUGUUGUAGGAAUGCAACAAACUAUUUUUUUUCAUAUGAUUCCAAAUUCUAAGAUCCACAUAAUGCUGCCAUUUUAAAAUUUAACACGCUGUGUCAGCUGCUUAGAUGCUAACAAGGUCUUAUAAGUGACACCAUAUGCAUGACUAGCAAUUUCUACGAAAAAUGUAUUUGUCUCAAAUAAAUAGCAUUUUUAUGUUGAAUUUAGUAUAUGAACAACUUUUAAAUUUUUAUGUUGUUAAUCUAAAUAAUUCUUCAUGUAGUGCUGCGCAAAGCUAAAACUGCUGCACAUUUUAGAAGAGGGACACUGGAGCAUAGAUCUUUAGAUCAAUAACUUAUAUUCUGUGUCCGAGGGAGUAACAAAACUUUCCCUCUUCUAAACAAGUGCCUAUCAACAACUAGCAUUCUGUACAUAGCUUAUUUAUUUGACUGCAUCUCUUUUUAUAUAAUUCAAUGAUGUCAAAAUUAUGGUUAAGUUUUUGAAUAAAAAAUCUUAUGAACGCACAUGAGCUUUAAUUUUUAUGUUAUAUAAGUGCCUAUCAUAUAUAUAUAUAUUCCCAGUUACCACAUGAAAAACUGCAAUUUGACCUGGGUCUAAAUUUUGUAGUGACUUUACCCAUUCUAAAAGAUAGGCGCUGUCUUCGUCAAGCCUAUCAUCAUAGUUUGGCCUUCCAGCUAUUGUUUCCAAUAUGACCACGCCAAAAGCAAAUACAUCAACUUUCUCCGUUACAUGACCUCUCAUGGCGUACUCAGGUGCUAGAUAACCACUUGAAAGAAGAGCAGAAAAAUAAUGUUAUUAGCUCACAGAUUAAUCAAACUAAAGUAUAAACUUUCUGCAAUUGUAUAAAGGUGCACUCCAGUGUGCAAGAUAACCUCUCAUUCCCUACUUACUAUAAAUGGGGCAAGAUGCAAAUGCGCUUACAAUGUACCGGCAACUUUUGUGCUGACAUGCGUCUUCUUGUCAUCAUAAAGUUUAGCGAGUCCAAAAUCUGAGAUCUUAGGGUUGAAAUUGGUGUCAAGUAAGAUAUUACUGGCCUUUAUAUCCCUAUGCACAACACGGAUGCUAGACUCUUCGUGCAAAUAAGCUAGACCUCUUGUAAUGCCUAAGCAUAUCCCAAAGCGUGUAAGCCAGUCUAGGUUCUUUCUCCCACUUCCUGCAAAUGAAUGUUUAAGUUAUACGAUGAACUCCUGGAGGGCCGGAGUUAUAUACAGUUGCAUCAAAUUGAAUGAACCUGUACCAAACAAUGCUUUAUCAAGACUUCCAUUCUCUAAGUACUCGUAAACCAGCAGUGGAUUUUCGCCCUCAAGGCAGCAACCAUACAACUUCACGAGAUUCCGAUGUUGCACUUGGGAAAUAGUUUCUAUUUCAGCUAUGAAUUGCUUCUUCCCUUGACGAGAUGUUUCAGAUAGCUGCUUUACUGCUACCAUGCUUCCAUCGGUCAGUUUACCCUGCGAAAAUGUGGCAUUUUUUAAGAAUGUAAGUUUCAGACACCUCAUUAUCACGCAUAUAAUGGACAAAAUAAAGAGACUGCCAAGCUAGCCAUGUGGGGCAACUAUAAAAGGAACUAGUAGAGAGCAACAAAAGGGAAAACCAAUGGGGAAUGUGUGUGUAGAUUGAUAUUACUAAAAGAAUAGGUGAAGCAUUGCCCAGAAGUAGAGGUUUAUUAGUCAAUUUGCAUACAGAAAAAGAGCUCUGGUGUGCACUACUUAUGUACGUGGAAACUUAAUUUCAGAGGCAAAUUAAAAUUCCAUAGCAAAUUUGCAUCCAUGUCACCAUGUGUAGUACAGAUGAACUAACCUUAUAAACUGCCCCGUAUCCUCCUUCACCAAGAAGGUUAGUGGAAUUAAAAUUUUCACUAGCGGUCCUUAGUUCACCAUAACUGUAACUAAAUACAUUUGGUCUUCCAACACAACUGUACAGCUCUGCAAGAAUCACAAGAGUUAAGUUUAUGAGCACAACCUCUUUGUCUGGUUUAAGAAUACACUGUGAACCUGUCAUAUCAUGUACCUCGUUUGUCCAAUGACAAUUUUCUUCUUUUCUGCCUCAACACAUAGAGUCCAGAGAGCACUAAUAGUCCUAAAACUGCUGCACCAACCCCAACCCCAACAGCGACACCUGUAUUGCUAGUACGUUUCGUCUGGGCAGCAUGGGCAGCAUUACGCACUGUAGGUUCGAAAUCUGUCCAAAAGUCCACUUGUUAGAACAAAUGCAAUCUUGGAUUUGGAUCCUAUGUUAAGUGUUUAUGAAUUUUCACUUUUUAAAAGUACUUGAGAAUUCAGCACCGGUUCAGAGUGGAUCUGUAAUUCUGUAUCACUAUUAUACAUGUCAGAGUGUUGGUUCAGUCAUCAGCAUUCUCCUAAUGGGAACUAAGUUGACCCCGCGAAAAUUAUCUAAACAGUAUAGAAACGUUGGUUUAUAGACAACGGGAGUACUUGGAGUUGCACUCAAAGCAGAGAGCGAAGGCCCAUAGUAGCCUUGACUAGGGAUGCAACAAGUGCCCUUGCCGGCCCAGAAAAGAUGAAUCUCAAGGAAGUUUCUGGUGACAGGAACAGUAUACUUCCUCGUGACAGCAGUGUAAGAUUUUCCGGCUGCUGCCUUUCUUAUGUCAAAGUUCUGCUCUUUACGCUCACCCUGUACCAAAAGCAAGAAAAAAAACAUUAGAAAAUCUCAAUCAGCCCAUAAGCUAAAAUCUCAAGUAAGUGUAAGUUAUCAGCAUGACUGGAACCUACCUGAAUAUAGAUAUCGAAAACCCUUUUACCUAAACUCUUCCAAGUCUGCAUGUCUUCGAAGUCAAACUCUGCAAAUUGAAGUGUGACUGUAUAAUUUCCAUUCUCAAGUCCAAUGCCAUAGUAGCGUAAUGAUGAUGGAGACAUCCUUGCUGUCUGGAACAGUUCUGAAUCUAGAGUUUUCAGAAACUGGCGUGAGCUGUUGAUUAUGUAACUAUUAUUUGGUGCCUCCAUGAACCUCCCAACAUUGCUAACACCCCACGUUGGUGCUCCUGUAACAUAAUAGGAAGCAGGUCCCAGAUCGGCGUUGUCAGGCUGAUACAUGGAAUUAUCUGAGACUGACAUAGAUCUCUGGCUCCCACAGUCCACAGCAAAGGAGGAAGCUGCAAGCAUGUUAAAUUAUUUAAUACUGAUGUUAUUUAGCAUAUCCUUAAAGUGCAAAAGUGGAAGCUCACAUUGUGGAGAGCCAAGAAAGCAGGGUGUGUCUCGCUGAAGGCACCCUAGCCCCGAAGGUAAGGCACUGAAGAUGUCAAACAUUGUCAAUUUGAAUCCAAAAUAUGAGCUGAGGCCUGAGAGAACAUAAAAAUUGUGCUUGAAGACUUUAAUGACCUAUUUGAAUACAAACUGACCUGUUAUUGGAGUCGUCGAUUACGAAAUUGUUCGCCACCAAAUUCCUAUGUAGAAUGAAACAUGUAAAAAAGAGUUAGAAGGCACUAUUGCAGAGAAUCAAGAGAAACCAAAGCAGGGACAAAAUUGAUUCAGUUUUUUAAGAUAAGCGAUAAGGUAAAGUACACAUCUGCUUGUUCAAAGAUUCUGAAUCAUAGAUGACGUCAAAUGCAAAAAGAAAAGAAAAAAAGAAAAAAUAAAUAUGGUCUAGGUGCAGCAAAAGCAGCCUUUUAGAUGUAGUUGAUAUUAAAAAAUGCUAGUUUAAUACAUGUGUAUGAUAUUGGAUUAUCUUUAAAAUAAUAGUAAUAGGGCUGAAUUUUCGGUCAGUCAAUCAAGCUUGCAAAACUCAGCACUUACAAUGUCAAAUUCGGACUAACCCAGGAGGGAAAGUUUCCUGAUAGCUGGUUGUAGGAAAAGUCUCUACACAAAACAAAGCGUGUAAAUGUUAUAGAUAAACGCCUUCCUGGUUUUACUUCACAAAUGAAAGUGGACAAACAUACAAGUUUUUAAGAGAAGUUCCUAUAGAACUUGGAAGGCUUCAUGAAAGACUAUUAUUCCCGAGAAACCUGGGCAGACCAAAUUUGCGCAUUAGCAAGAUUGAUGAUCAUUGUCAUCAGAACCUAGAAAUAAGUAUCAGAAGGCAAGAUAAACCAUACAAGAAGCUGAGUGAAUUCAGAUUCAGCAGAGCUUGCGGUACUAGGCCAGUAAUAUUGUUAAAACUCAAAUCCCUGUAACAGUAGAACAAAUGAGACUAGGAGAGAAAGGGGUCAUCAAACAAUGCAUAAUCCACAGCAGUUCAUUAAAGCAUCUAGCAAAACAUGCAGUUGACUGGAGUUUACGAAGAAACAAAAUGUCUUACAGUAGGGUUAAUGUUGCAAACUGUGAAAAGUUUACUGAUGCCAGGUUAUCAGAUAUCCUGCAGUUCCUCAAAACUCUGCAAUGAAACAUGUCAAGAGUUUUCGGAUUUAACAAUUUGGUUGCACUACAGCAAAUAUUAAGAUGUAGUUUUGAGUCAUCAAGUGAAUGACAAGUUAUGCAUACAAGAUGUUCAAAGAUGUCAUGUUACUGAUGAAUGCCAGUGAAGAACUCCCAUUUACUAUGUCACCUAUUCGUCUGAACCACAGAAGUAGAUAAUUAAUUCUUCUGUUCUGCAACCUUAAUACUUGACAAUGAUACUUAUCUACUCCCGCCAUCAGUAGUCACUUACAAGCUUGUCAGUUGGACAAGAUUAGAAAGAGUGGUUGGAAGUGGACCUUGAAAUGAAUUGCCUUGAAACCGUCUGCAAAAUUAUAGUUGUUGUUACUAGUGAAGAAAGAAGGAAGAUCCUGCUAGUACAAGGGUCACUUUCUUGGUAAAAAAAGUAAAUAGGUUUAUGCAGAUAGAAAUAUGAUCUGUUCCAUAAAAAAGAUAAUUAUUAGAAAAAUCAAUUCAAUAUUUUUAACACUAGUAUUUUUUAAUGGAACAGGAGGGGUUAGGACCCCUACUGGUUAUAUAUUCAGGAAAAAGGAGUCUUUUACAGAGCAAAAAGGAGAAAAAGGAAAAUCACAACAGAUUGUCAAGCCAUUCUGUGAUUCUAGGGAAAGACUUCUUUUUUCUCGAUGGAUAACCAUAGCAAAUUCAUACUUGAAAAUGUUUCUGCAACUCUCAACUGAAACUUGCUGUUGUUUGGAGAUUGCAUUGUUCCUUGUUGUCCAGAAUAUGUGGAACAGAACCGCAUUAUCAUGAAUAGUGAAAAAAUGUAAUAUUUACUAAAAUGAUGAAACCACCUCACAUCUGACCUUAUGUGGAUUAUUUUAAUAGGCCACUGAAUGGAGAUUUAGCAGAGUAAAAACUAUACUUAGCUAAUACCAUCUCAUUUAUGAGCACAAUGAGCCAGGGUUCAAAAUGAAUUUCAUACUUGAGAACUGUUGCAAACUGUACACAAUGUCUUUAAAGAAAUUAUCAACACCAUCUGAAAAGUAUAAGUUGUAAAUCUUACAGAUCUAAUAAAUUACUGAGGCUCCCAAUGUAAUCUGGUAUUUGCCCAGUAAAAUCAUUAUCUGAUGCCCACCUAAUCACAAAUAAGAAUAACGCAUAAGGUUAAAUGAAUAAUACUGUUGACAAAACAUCUUUUAUAGGCAUACAAUAUUUUCAUGCUUGUAAGCUUAGAAAAUGAUGGUGGUAGUGGACCACUUAAGCCAGAGCUGUCAAUAUAUCUGCAAGACAGAAAUAAACGAAUAAGAAUGUUAACAUGGUUUGGUAGAAGAAAAGGUAAGGACUACAGGGUGCCCAAAAUUAAUCAAAAUACGCACAGUUGCUCAAGUUUAACCAUGUUACCCAGUUCGGGAGGAAGGGAUCCAUUUAAGUUGUUCAUGCUUAUGCCCCUGAAAUCCCAAAAAAAAUGUCAGGUUAGUAGCAAAAGAUUUGUGACAGGAAACUUUCUUACCUUUCGAAGGAUGAAUACUUUUCCCGACAGAGGUCAACUAGUAGAAGGAAUGAAGGUGUGUUUUUUCUAUAAGCUUGAUGUCGAUAGCAUGUAUUCUCAACUUAAACUGUUCUUUAUUUGUUGAUUCUUACACAUUUAAAUAAAUUUAUAGGUACGUGUACAAAGCCAGGUCGAGAUUUAUAAAACUUUGUAGUUUGGACAUUAGCAAAGAUUUCUACUGAAAUAGGGCCAUGAAACAGAGAAGGUAAAUUACUUACAGGGAUACGAGAUUCACAAGCUUCCCAAGCUCCUUUGGAACAGAUCCAGAUAAUGCAUUAAUUGCAAGAUUCCUUGUAUGUUCAAGGGAGAUAGUUUAAGUUUCAAUGUUACCCAAAACAUGCGAUGUAGUAAUGUUAGGUUCUAAAUCUCACAAGUAUUGCAAAGCAGUCAGUUCCCCAAGGAACGAUGGUAUAGGCCCUGUUAAGUAAUUCCGCAUUAAGUUCCUAAAAAAACGUCAGAUCAGAUCAGAUGUAAACGAAAAAGGAUGGCUCUCAGUAGGUAUUAUAUUUAAAGAAAUUUUGAGCUUGAUGUGGGAGGCUACUACAAAGCAAUCCGCUGCUAUGAUAAUAUGAUAUGCCGUGGAACUGCGGGAAAUGACAAAGUCCACCAAUAAGUUGCGACUAAACAAUCUUAAUAUACACUUGGGAUACUUUGGCUCACUGACGAUUUCAAGAACGUUGAGAAUUCAUACAAAUUGGUCAAGUGCGUGAGGUUCCUCAGCUCUUCUGGUAUAGGACCUACCAGAUCCAAUGCGUACAUUUUCCUGCAGCAAUAACAGUGAAGCACCCAUCAGCUCGCACCAUCUCAAUUUAGCCUUCAUGGAUGUUUUUUUUUUGAAAUAAACCUUCAUGGAUGUUCGUCGUCAGACAAACACCACCAGGUUAUGGAGCGCCGUCAAAUAACCGCACAAGCAAUAGUUGCAGAGAUAAGGACGAUGCACUAGCCUGCCACACUCUGAGUGCACGAACUGCCACCUCAGGUGGGCAAAUUAGAUCAUCCAGCAACUGAUGGUGGGCGUACGGAUAGGUAGCGUGAGACACUUACAGCCUGGUGAUGUGGCAGACGGUGUUGUUCUGGUACGUGCAGUCGCAUUUGAUUCCCGGGUUCAAUUUUGGGCGAUUGUCGACGUCGGUGUCGUCCGUGGCCGCGCCGGCGCAAGGGUCGACGCCGCUGAACCAAGAUGGCCACAGUCUGCUCCCGAGUUUGUCAAACACCCCCUUCAGCGCAUCCGCUGCGAAUGAGACACAAACACGAAAACGCGAUCAAACAUCCUGCCCCUCGGCAGUCCGAGAAAAUUUUGCAAUAUGCUCCUAUGGUUUAAGAUAUUUAGACCCUGACUAUAACUUUUUGCAGGCCGAGAGCUUGCAUUGUGUGGCCGAGGGGGAUUGAUUUGUUUAGUAUUCAUGUGCUCUAAUGGUCGAGAGUAUUUUGGUGUUACAUAGCUGAUCUCCGAGAGUGAACAUGAUUUCCAGAGAAGCAAUCACCGACUAACCUUUACCGACCACAGAGAAUAUAUAAAAUAACAGAUCACCCUCAGGCACUCAACGCGAACUCUAGGCAAAAGUGGUGAAUCUAGUAGUGUACAGUGAUAGCUAGUCUUAAGCUUGUAAUACAUAAAAAGCAUUAUAAGUACCCUAAAAGCUUGGUGACAUGGUAACUUUUUUCUUUUUUAAUAAAAAAUAUAUAUCUAGUAGGAAUCUUAGUCCCCACCUGUUCCUAAAAAAGUACCAAGACUCUAGCAGUCCUACCUCGGGGCUUUCUUAUUUUUACAACAAAAAAAAAAGGCAAUGGGGGUACUAAUACUAUGCAGCAAGAGGUGAGAACAAGAUGACAUGAAGAUGCACAAAAAUAUUUGUGCUCGAGAUGAAAUCUGUCCUGCCCUGCAAUGGACUAUCCCACUCUUUCACAACCAAAAUUUAUGCUCGAACAAGAUGCUUUUACCUUUACUAUCGGUUUCAUGACUACACGCACGCCGGCCUACAUGUUGCCAGCACAGCACAUGCGCCAACCUGUUUUGUUACGCCAUCUCAGCCCAGGUCUGUGCCAGGCAAGCAGCACGAAAAUGUUUCUAUGUUUAGUAUCGAUUCCCUUUGUUUCAAAAUAGAGUUGAAUUUAGAUUUAUCCUAAAUCAAAUUUCUAUAAAUUUGAUAGGCAUCAACCUCUACAACAUCAAAUUAGUUUCAGUGAAUCCACCAUGAAAUAUCUUGACAGUGUAUUUUAUUUGGUAUUUUUUGAUGAAGUCAGUAGGAAAGCCACAACCUAUUUUUUUUAAUUUUUUAUUCUAGACCUGUUUAAUUCGCUUCCAAGAGGAGUCGAACUAAGGUCUGCUGGAUACUGCUCAAGUGCUCUAACCACUAGGCUAGAUGCACUUUUUUAUUUGGUAUUGUAGAUGUUAUUAUAUUUUUUUAUAAACUUAAUCAAAAUUAGAGAAAGUUUGAUUUAGUGAACUGAGCGUAGCCUAGCUGGUAAGGUCCCUUGUGGUGGAACCUGCUCAGUGGUAGGUGAUGUGCCCAUUGAUAGCGAGAUGUCAGUGGUGACUUCAUCAAUCUCGAGGAUUUACCGGUUCAAUUUUUCGGAGGUGCUCAUAGGGGUAAAGUUGCGUGCGUGUAUUCGUAGGGACGAGUGUGCGUACAUGUAUGUGAGCGUCUACGUCUGUGAUUCACAGUAAAAAAGAGAAAGUUUGACUUAGAAAAAACUAAUGAAAAAUAUUUUAGAAUGGAUGAAGUAAUCAAUUAGGUGCUGAUUUAUUUUUUUAAGACGUACAUAUGAGAAAGUUACCUAUCAAAUUAUUCUUACUAUAUUUGGUCAUUUAAAGACGACUCGUCAUGCUAGAUGACCGGAAGGAGUAGUAAAGAAUUAGUCUUAGACGACUCCACCGGAGACAGGCAAUGAAAACGACAACUAGCAAGUAACUACCACGACAAGCAGCCAUAAGGUGGUUGAAACUGCACAACAAGUCAACAACUAGCUCUCUAAGGAAGGUUGAUUUUUAGGGCAGUUCCAAAUCAUAGUUUCUAUGGGUAGUUUUUAUGUUCACAUAUCAUCAAGAUGCCACUUGUAGAUCUAAUCUCCCCAACCUAUAAUUUCUAUGGGUAGUUUCUACGUAUGAUUUCACGCAAGCAGCACAAACAAAGCUCGGUCAGCUGUGGCAAGCAACCGCGUAGCCUUCAUGCUGCCACAGUCCGAGCCAUUGAAAUUAAAAUAAAUUCAUUCGCAGCUGCUAUAAGAUCGAUCAACCUGGAAAGAGCCGCCAAGAGACGAUGCAGGCCAAAAUGCAGGAGCGAGAUGAGCGCUGGUUCGAUCAGUGCCUGGACAAAGUGCCAAAGUGGCGCUAGAAGCAACGGACGGAGAACUAGCGCCUGGAGAAAGCAACAGCAGCAGCACCAACAACUCGUCUGGAACUUGAAGAGGGCUUCCUCGAUUUCUUUUGAUGUACGCCUUUCUUCUCCAAUCGAUCCUUAGAAGCGGCGCGUGGGGAAUUGCUGGCGGAGGCUUGGUGCGCGGCCGCGCACGGGGGUGGCCAGCGGCGUCAGGCGGACACAAGCGCCGGAAAUUGGCACGCGCGAGCGAGGGAGGGGAUGGCCCGCGGCGCGCGCGUGAGGGAGGGUCGCGACGCGGCAGUAGCAGGCGCGCACGGAGCCUGGGGGUGGGUCGCGGCGCACAGCGGAUCGGGAAGAUGCGCAAGAAAACGAGGAAGAAAACCGUAACGCUGGCCCAACGCGAUUUCGGCGGUAUCUACGCACUUGAUUCGCGAGCUGACUCGGUUUCUAACAUGAGAAAAACAACGAUAUCUCGCUCUUUCUUCGUUAAAUCACCUGCCACGUCGUUAGCCCCCUUUGUCACGGCUCCUUGAGGAGCUUCUCCACCGGCUUCUCAAGGAGCCGUGUCAAACACUUUCUUCAAAACAGCUUCUCCGGCGAAACUGCCUAAAAACCUGUUGAGAGGAGCCAAAACGAGCAGGCGGAGCUAGGAAAAUGAGCUCCCCGCGGCUCCCUCAUCCAUCCUGCACCAUUCGGUACCAUAAUACCCCUGGAGUUUGCCGAAUUUACACCCAUUUUACCACUGCCUUCUUUUCUCUCUCUCCCCUAUCGCCCAUUAGUGGAGGAACGACGGGCGGCGACUAGCAGCGGGAGGUUCAAGCACCAGGAGGCGUGGCAGAGGUGGCCGGCAGUGGUACGCGGAAGCGGUGGCGGCUGGCAGCCGUAGGCAGCGCAGGCCAGGGAGAAAGAGAGGACGAAAAUAGAAAGGCAGCUGGCAGCACGCGUGGUGGCCAGAGAAGGAGGCUAGGGGGGUGGCCGGAGAAGGCAGCCAUGGGAGCGCGGCACGCCGGAGAAGGUGACGACAGGCGGCUGAUCUGGUGCAGUGAGGUGUAGGGUCGCGACACGGUAGUAGCAGGCAUGCACGGAGCCUGGGGGUGGGUCGCGGCGCACAACGCAUCGGGAAGAUGGGCAAGAAAACGAGGAAGGAAACCAUAACACUAGCCCAACGCGAUACCGGCGGUAUCUAUGCACUUUGGUGCGCGAGCCGACUCAGUUUCUCACCUGAGAAAAACGAUUUCUUACUCUUUCUUCUUCCCUGUUUGGUUCCUUUAGUGCAUAGACUGGACUAAACUUUAGUCCCACCCCUGUUUGGUUCCAUGGACUAAGGGGGUGUUUGGCUCCCAGGGGUCAAACUUUAGCCCCUGUCACAUCGGAUGUUUGGAUACUAAUUAGGAGUAUUAAACAUAGGCUAAUUACAAAACUAAUUGCACAGAUGGAGGCUAAUUCGCGAGACGAAUCUAUUAACCCUAAGUCCAUGAUUUGACAAUGUGGUGCUACAGUAACCAUUUGCUAAUGAUGAGUUAAUUAGGCUUAAUAGAUUCAUCUCGCGAAUUAGCCUAGGGCUUCUCUAAUUAGUUUUAUAAUUAACUCAUGUUUAGUCCUCCUAAUUAGCAUCCGAAUAUUUGAUGUGACAAAGGCUAAAGUUUAGCCCCUAGUAUCCAAACAACCCCUAAAAUGGACUAAAGUUCAUAAAUACUGUUAAACAAAGACCUUUUUACUCUUCUUCCCUACCCUCUUGGUAUCCCUGCGUCUACUCCUCCUCACACGGGAACUCUAACUACCGCUGGUUGAAGCUUCUCCAUCUCCAGCGCCAAUGGAGCACCGCCCGGGCAUGCCCAACCUACCCCGCCACAUGCGAACUCCCGCGCGGUGCAGGCAAGAUCCUUUGUGUGCCGGCGAGCAGUGGAGCGAGCAGAGGAUUGGCCCGAAUGGGGGAGCCUCGAAUCGGCGACAAGAUGGAGGCUCAUUGAUUCGGCCACAAGGUGAGCUCAAGGGGGCGUCGUGUUGAUUUGGACGCUGGGGAGGCUCGACGGGGUGGCGAUGUGUCGAUUUGACCGUCGGAGGACCCCGAGGGGGCGGCGGCAGUCCUUCUCAUCGCCUCUCCCCCAUGGCGGGCUAGCACCAUCGUACAUUGAAGCUCCGCCAGCCUAGCUGCAGGGCAAGCGAGCUUCGAUAGUGCGGCCACGGUACGGUCGAGCGCCACCGCGUAGGUGAGGGCAGCAGUGGGCCGGCGGCGAGGGGAGGGGAGCAGCGGUGGGUAGGCACGAGCGGAGGAGCAGCGGCCGGACGUGGGGAGAGCGGCGGCGUGGGGAGGAGAGCAGGAGGGAGGCGGGUGGUGAUGGCAGCGGGCGGCGACGGCAGCGAGUGGGAGGGAGGCCAGGUGGGAGGGAGGCGGCGGGCGGGAGGGAGCCGGGUGGGAAGGAGGGCAGUAAAUGAGGGGUAGGGGUGUCCCAACACCCUUUAGUCCAGUUUUGUGGAUUAGAGGACUAAAGCCUUUUGUUCAAACUUUAGUCCACUGUUUGGGUGUUUAGGGACUAAAAGUGCACCAAAACUUUAGUCUAUGAGAACCAAACACCCCCUGAAUCACCUCCCACAUCAUUAGAUUGCUGAGAUGGUAACACCCCCUGAAUCACCUUCCACAUCAUUAGAUUGCUAAGAUGGUACUGUAUUGAAUGAUAUAGAAAUUGGGUGACUUGAAGGUUGGGAAUGCCCUUAAUAUUUUCUCACUUGGAUCCCAAUUUCAUCUCGUGGGCUUGCUCUGUUAAGUUUCCUCUCAUGUGGUUGAAACAGCUUCGGCUGUGGCUUCUCUGAUGGAGCGGUUUUUUUAGCUCUAGUUUGCUUGAUUGGAAAAACAUUUGGCAAAACAGCUUCUCCUGAUUGUUUUAAAUGGAUAAAAAUGUGAAAUGUCCAUACUACCCUUACCUUUUUUUUCUUUUCUAUUUCUUUUCUUUUUUUUCAUUUUCCUUCCUCUUUUAUUGCUUUUUCCUCCACGGUUCCAACCGUUUCUUUCUGCCUACCUUAUCCUUUCGCUCCAUCCCAACGCCAACGCCCGCGCAUGCUGCUGCAGUGCCAUCCUCAUGCCCUACCGCGCCUAGGGGCAAACUGGAGACUUCGGCCUUGCGGAUGGGACGAAGCUGCGGGGAGUCAAUUUUAAUUUUUGGCUUCUCCUCCACUCUUAGCUCCUCUCAGCGCGAAUUGUGGGGCUCCAUCGGCGGAGCCGUUUCGUUCUUCCCCGUUUGGCAGCUAGGGCUGCUCAAGAAGUCCUGCCAAGAGGACCUUAUUCGUAGGCAAAACAUGAACGAAGUCAAAAGGCCAAAAAUCAUAACAUCGUACCAUUAAACGCACCCCUGUUGCCCUUCUACCCCCAAACAUUUGGAACGAGAUAGUUUCUUAGACGAAUCGGGCAGAUGAUUCUCUGGAACAUAUCAGGGAUGGCUUGCCUUGCCUUGCCGGGCAGAUGAUUCUUGGAAGAAAAUUACCGUGCCUUGCCAGGCUCGUGCCGGACCCUACUGGGGCCGCUCGUUUGGACAUCCAUAGCCAAGUGUGAAUUUUAUGGUGGGCAAGCAAAAGGCGAAACACGAUAUCGAUGGAUUGAUGCAAGCUGAUUUGAAACCCCCUCGCUAAUCUGAAAGAAAUAAGACAUGCACGCUUACCUUCAACCGGAUCGGUCCUUGUCCUCGCUUGCUGAGCUUGCGCAGAUGCAGCUAGAAGAAGCAGCAGCAGCAGCAACGUCGGGAGCGCAGCAGAGCCAUGGCGGCACGAACUGCUGGGUCCAGGCCUCCUCAUCUCCUUCCCCUCUCUCUGGCCUCGAGCUCGGGAUUGGCUGCCCCUUCCGAGGCCGAGCGGGAUAUAUGGUAACCUGAUGGAGACUCGGAUGGCGACUUGUCUCAGGCCCCGCCGCCGCGGUGGACACAUGCACCUCCCUCGACGCUGCGCCACCAUGCAAGGAUGGCGCAACUAGGGAAUUUUCUAUGGUCAAGUGGCGCCACUGCUCUGUCCAAGACUCCAAGCACAGUGGACGCGACGGGCCAACAACUACCUCCAGGCUCCCACAUGGAAGCAGAGCCGAAGGCGAUCGACGACGACGGUGACCGUGUUGUUCUGUGCGAGGAGACUUACAGCUUGGUGACGUGGCAGACGGUCGCCGCUGAUGUUCCAUGCCGACGCCGCCGUUUAGCACUUUCAUUAAAUAUUUUACAUAUUUUCGAUAAUGUGGUGAAAUUGUGUUUUCUAUGAAGGCUUGUGAACUUGAUAUUACAAAUAUUAUAUAAUUCCAUCAUAUGCGUUACACUAAAGAUUUUACCAGAAGCACAGGAAUCAAUGGGUGAUAUUGCUCCACCUCGAGUGCAGAGUGGGAGUGAACUUACAUGUUCUAAAAUAUAAACAAUAUAAACUCUUGUUACGCUGCUGGAGAGGAGGCAUCGCUGGAGUCGCACUUCGCCUCGUUGGACACGCAUCACCCCUCUGCUCUGUAUGGGUCUCUUUUGCGUAGCUCUUGCUGGCUCCAGCUCCAUUACUGUAGCACACUAUAGUUUAUCGUAGUGCGUGUCGGAUCUGGAGUUGGGGGGAGCAAUUUUUUCUAAAUUCACCGGCUCCUCCUCCAUAACUGUAGUACAAUGUAGCUAAUCGUAGCGCAUGUCAGAUAUGGAUUUUGACUCUUCACUACAGUACAGCACAACAGUGAUACAAGUAGCGUGACAUAGGAAACGAGAGCCGUGAGGGAGCGGUGCCAAAGGGGUCAUACGGGUGUCUUCCUCUAUUUUCUUUGCGACGGGAAGAGGUAAACAUAUGGGUGGGGCAUCAAGCUAAGUGCACGAGAUUGUGCUCUGAGAAAAUCUUGCUGCUUCUUUUUUUAAUCAUAGAUCGGGUUGGCAUCGUCCUGUCGUUCUGUCAUAAAUCAUAUAUAUAGAUCCGGAUAGACCAAACCCUCCAACAUCAUCAUUUGGUCCUGGCCUCAAAAAUCAAACCCGAAAAAGAAAAUCGAUCUAAGACGGGCGAAGCAACAAUCGAUCAGAGCACAUAACCUAACACAAAAUACGUGCAAAAGCUGAAUAUAUAUCCUCAGAACGUUUGUGACGUGCAUUUACAGAAAACUGUCCGUCAACUUGCAAAUCACCGGCCUUCUUCUCGGAGCUGUUAGAGGUUUAGGCAUUUUACGGCAUAUUUUAAUUCCGAAUAUUUCUAAGUAAAUUAUGGUUAUUGUGAGUGAUACAGAGCGUGUGCAAGUGUUUUGUUUAAAACACGUUUGAACGUAAACAGAACCAAAAGAAAGAACCAGAUAAGGUUCAGUAUGUACCUAGGGGCGGGAUCAUUGCCGAAGGCAAUGGGUGCGCCGUUCCUAGAACUGGAUGCAUCAGACAUUGUGUCUAAAAUGUCGGUUCGGGCUGUUCGAUGUAGUUGAUCAAAGUUGAUGCAGUGUCGAGUUGGUGCAGAGCAGUCCCUUGAACGGCCUCCAGGAUGUAGCAUGACGCGCAGAAGAUGCGCUUCCCCAAAACUUGAUCGCCUGCCUACUCGUGCAAGUGUCGCAGCAGGAUGAAGUUUCGGAGGCCUGCGCGUAGAGGCUCGCGAUGGGAAUGUCAAGAUAGCAGCGGGCAACAGCAAAAAAAAAGGGAGAGAUGCGCGUAGAGGCUCGCGAUGGGAAUGUCAAGAUAGCAGCAGGCAACAGCAAAAAAAAAGGGAGAGACGCGUGCGCGGCUCGACGAGGUGAGCAAGCGCGCACGGCACCCUUUCUCUCUUCCUCAACUUCUCAAUUAGUGCACACAUAGUCCACCUAUUUAAGUUGGUUAAGAUACUCUUAACUAUCCAGGUAGAAUUAACCACUUUAUCCAUCUAGCAUUACACGUGGAUCCUGAGAUUAAAUGAAUUAAAUCGGCCUAACCUGAAUAUUCCAACAGGAGCUAGCUAAUGAACGGCGAAGAGGUGUGCGACGAGGCGGCCCUUGGGGCCAAGCUCGACUGCCCGCUCAUAUUGCUGCUCAUGAAGCUGCUGGUGUUGCCUCCCUUGAUCUGCCAUUCGGUGAUGUAGCUGGGCUUGUUCACCACCUCGCCCACCUCCACGUCGUCCCCGGCCAGCAUCGACACAGCCCGAGACAUGGACGGCCGCUGGUGGGGCGAGCCCUGGGUGCAGAGCAGGGCCACGUGGAUGGCACGGAGCACCUCGUUGCUGUUGAAGUCAGCAAUACAGUUGCCAAACCUGAAAGCACAGAAAAUUAUCUAGAAAUGCUAAGAUGCCAGGCUAGCGUGACAUGUGUUUAGGGACGUUUCAUUUACCAAAUAUAAUCUCGUAGUAAUACCGUAUCCCUUAAUUUAUAGACGGGAUUAAAAUCAUUGGUGAGUUGCAUGGCAAUAAUAAGUAUAUCGGUGAAUGAGUAUUCUUUUUUUAAGUCAACGGGGGAGUGCCCCACCUGAUUCAUUAUAGACCAGCACGCUAGCACGCUUCCAUUAUUGGUGAGUUGUAUGGCAAUAAUAAGUAUAAGCCCCCUGCUCUUUUGGCUAGCACGCUUGCUCCCACCCAACAAGACAUUGUGCUCCACUAACUGUAUCUUCCCCGGACCACAGGAAACGUCAUCGUUGGCAAUUGAGAGCGUCAAUGUUCCCUGGGGGUAGAAGGAGCACUGACAUAGCGUAGGUAAGCUGGCUGUCCAUGACGCUAUUGAUCAGCACUGCAUGGCCCAUUGGAUUCAGUAGGGAGGCGUGCCAGCCGCUGAGAUGCCUGUCCGCUCUAGUGAUCAGAGGGCUGAACACGGACAGACGUAGCUUCUCGUGGGACAGUGGCAGCCCCAGGUAGGUUUGGGGGAAGCUGCCAAGUUGGCACCCAAGAAUACUUUGAAGCGCCGUGGUAGUCGAGCUGGAAGUGUUCAUUGGCAUCAUGGUACUCUUGUUGAAAUUGAUGUGCAGCCCCGUGGCCUCGCAGAACAGAUCAAGCACCUGCUUCAGCGCCACCAGCCCAUCUUGAUCUGCCUUGAGGAGGAUGAGGGUGUCAUCGGCAUAUUGGAGCACGGGGCACGGCUUCCCCGAGGUGGCAGGGUGUGAAAUCCUCUGGUCGAGCUUGAUCAUCUGCUGAAGGACGUCAGUGACCAGAAGGAACAACAGGUAGGGGGAUAGUGGAUCCCCCUGCCGUAGGCCUCUUCCACAGGCGAACCACGGGCCAGGAACACCAUUGACAAGGACAACAAGCUUCAAGGUUUGCAACAUGCUCGUGAUCCAGUUGCACCAGAGGGGCGGGAAGCCUCGCGCAUCCAUGAUGGCGUUGAGACUGAGACAAUCCACAGAGUCGAAGGCUUUGGCGAAAUCAAGCUUCAGAACCACGGUGGGUAGCUUGCGGCAGUGGCAGCACUGGACGAGCUCCAUCGCGUAGAUGAAGUUCUCAGAGAUCGAGUGCCCCUUGAUGAAUCCUGUCUGGUCUAGAUCAAUGAGGCGGGGGAUCUAGUGUUGCAGCCGCGUCGUCAGCAUCUUAGAGAUGAUCUUCAAGGAGCAAUUUUGCAGGCAGAUUGGGCGGUAGUCCCCCGGCGUUUUGUCAAGGAGACAGCGACCGCUUCGUACGAUUCCACUAACCGAUUCAAUGUAGCAACGACAGCUGCUUUCGUCACGGAUGUGCACCACGUCCAUGCGUUUGCAGGAAAGGGAGCGCAAAAAAAAAGAGAUAUUUUUGUGAACCGUACAGGCGGAUAUUACAAGGGCUGGGCCUAUUACAAGGCCCAAGGCCUGGUCACUCAUGACACAAAGCACGUUCGGUGAUAUGAAGCUGUGUGGUCCAGCCAAUUGCAAUUUACAGCCUUUUUUCGAGCGAAUUGGCAAUUCUUGUACACAUCCGAAUCGAAAUUUUUCCAAGUGAAUUUCCAAGAAACAAUCUUGGUCUUGGCAGAAGUUGAUCUUAACUUGCCGAUGGGCGAUGGUCAUCAAUCACCGGCCUUCAUCGAUGACGGAGCUCAGGGACAUGGCCUCCGCCCCCGGCUCCGAGCUCGACGUCCCCAUGGCGUUGCUCUGCCACUCGAUGACGUAACUGGGCUUAGUAACCGCCUCGGGCACCUCAAUGUCCCCGACGAGCAUCGACACCACCCUCGACAUGGGCGGGCGCUGCCGAGGUGAGCUUUGGAUGCAGAGGAGGCCAACGCGGAUGGCACGGAGCACCUCUUCGCUGUUGAAUUCUGUGAGCCUAGGGUCUGUGACGUCCAGAGGAUGGUCGUCCUCGUAAAGUUGCCAGACCUGAAAGCAUGAUAAGUUGGGGGACAAUUCAGAUCCAACUGUUUUUUUUUUCCUGUCGCAAUAGCAGAACAAAAAAACACACAAUCAUCAUUUUCAAGAUGGUUCCAAACAUUGAUCUUCUGCUGUGCAAGUACGCAACAAUAGGAUCCACAAUAAUACUACGGCCAUGCUAAAAUUUAACAAGAGAUGCCAGCCUCUAAUAACAAGUUCACAUAAUGACAUGUUGACUAGCAGUUUCUGCAAAAAAAAAAGGCAACUUUUCGCAAGUUUUUGGUUAGACUGUUUAAGUCCAAGGUUCGAUAAAACCCUUUGUCACCGGUCCGUGAAGGGACGUAUCUCCCUCUGAUCUAUUUUUUCCUUAAAAAUUCUAUGAGAAAAAUACUAUCUGGAACAAAAGAAAUUCAUAUAAUGAAAAAGUUCCAUCCAUGGGAAAAAAAGAAAGAAAGUACAAGUAUAAUCAUACCAUCUAAUAUAGUUAAUGUAUUUUUCUAAUAUAAAGCAUCAUGUUCUCUACCCACUCGUAAAAUUUAAAUCUAAAACUCAACUUGUACAUGAAAAAAAAAUAUUAUGAGGGAUAGGUCGGACCAACUAAAAUAGUUUGGGAUAGUAAAUUAAUCCAGAAUUUUGUUCAUAGGGUUAAACGGAAAAAGUGGAUUGCUUAGGGUAGUAUAAUUUUUCCAUUUUAUGUUUCUAUAGUCUAAAUAAUUGUUAAGUGCAGGGAAAGGAUUAGCUUUAUUGAUCUGUGGAACUAACACAAUGGCAACGACUGAGCUAGAUUCGCCCUCUGCAGAGGCUCUGAAUCUUAACAACUCAAUCCUUGCUUGCCUAUCAAUAAAGAACCAGCCGGCUUAUAUAUUGCUUGGUGCUAACAAACCAAAUCCUAAUUAACAGCUAUUGCUAACCUCCUGCCAUCUUAUCCAACAAAUCAGGCGCCUAACAUGCCGGAGCUGUUGCUGGCGCCGGCUUGCUGCGCCGCCUGUAGGUUCAGCCCACAAAAGCGUCCACAACAAUAAUACCUUAUAUUUUGAUAAAAAAUAGGUAUGUCUCAUCAACAAAUGAUUUUAGAAUGAUAUAAAUUGUGUAGUAUUGUAGGUGCGGGUACUAUUCAAACUUUAGCAGACUAAAAUUGUGGUUGUGUUUUUUUUUCUGCAGGUAAAAAAUCGUGGUUGUGUUUGAUUAAAAAAUCUCAUGAAUGCAUGUGUGCUUUGAUACUUUAAAUCACUCAUGAAUCUAGUGUGGAUUUUCCGACCCCAAUAGCAAAGGAAAAAGAGUGGAACAUUGCAUGACCUGGAUCUCAAUUGUACAGUGACCUUACCCAUUCUAAAAGAUAUGCUUUGUCUUCACCAAGCCUACCAUCAUAGUUUGGCCUUCCAGCUAUAGUCUCCAAUAUGACCACACCAAAAGCAAACACAUCAACUUUCUCACUCAUAUGACCUCUCAUGGCGUACUCAGGUGCAAGAUAUCCACUUGACGAAAACAGCAAAAAGAUCACCAUUAGCUCACAAAGUUAACGAAACUAAUAUAGUGUGUCAAGAUGCGUAAGGGGGAGAAGGUUGGAGAUGUGCUUACAAUGUACCAGCAACUUUUGUGCUGAUAUGCGUGUUCUUGUCAUCAUAAAGUUUGGCGAGACCAAAAUCAGAUAUCUUAGAAUUAAGAUUGGCAUCAAGUAAGACAUUACUAGCCUUUAUAUCCCUAUGCACAACACGGAUGCUAGACUCUUCAUGGAGGUAAGCCAGGCCUCUUGCAAUGCCCAAACAUAUCUCAAAGCGUGUUGGCCAGUCCAGGUUCAAUCUCCCAUUUCCUACCAAUGAAGAAUAAUUUUCAGAUUUAUGUAAGAAACCUGAACUCUUUGCACUUGCAUCGAAUUGAAUGAAACAUUACCGAACAAUGCUUUAUCAAGGCUUCCGUUGUCUAGAUACUCGUAAACCAACAAUGGGUUAUUGCCUUCAAGGCAGCAACCAUACAACUUCACGAGAUUACGGUGUUGCACUUGAGAAAUAGUUUCUAUUUCUGUUAUGAAUUGCUUCUUCCCCUGACGGGAUGUUUCAGAUAGUAGUUUUACUGCCACUACACUUCCAUCGGAUAAUUUACCCUGCCAGAAGGUAUCAUUUUUAAAAAUGCAUGUUUUAAGUAUCAGCGUUACCAUAUGUAUACUGUAAUGAAGAAAAUGAAGAAGACAACCACAACAAAAAGAAAAAGAAAUCAGUAGGGAGCAUAUGUAUAUAUUUUUUUGAAAUAAAUAUGUAUAGAUUUGUAUUAGUAAAAAGAACGGGAGAAGCAUGUGCAGUGAGAAAAAGAAUUCACAUUGCCCAAAAGUAGAGAUAAAAUAAAAGAGGUCUAGCCAAUUUGCAUAAAGAAACAGAUCAGUGUCAAAAAAUUCACAGAAAGUAAAAUUUAACAGAAAAUUGUCAUCCAUGUGUACUACAUAUGAACUAACCUUAUAAACUGACCCAUACCCUCCUUCGCCGAGAAAGUUACUGGAAUUAAAAUUUUCACUAGCGGUCUUUAGUUCACCAUAACUGUAAGUGAAUAAAUUAGGUCUUCCAACAGUAUUGUACAGGUCUGCAAGGAUGACAAGCAAUAAAUUCAUGAACACAACCAAUGUUUGUUUAAAGAAUACAUUGUGAGCAUAGUGUAUCAUGUACCUUGUUGCUCCAAAGACAGUUUUCUACUUUUCUGCCUCCGGACAUACAGUCCAGUGAGCACUAUUAGUCCUACAACUACUGCACCAACCGCAGCUCCAACAAUUGCACCUGUUUUAUUCUUACUUCUCUUCCGAGCAGCAUUAGGUGCUGUAAUCGUGAAGUAUGUCAGAUUCAAAAAAAGCUCACUUGUUGGAAUAAGACAGUGAUCUUACAAAGAAUCAGCAUAUUUUGACUCUGAAGUUUAUGUUAUGUUCUCCUUUACUCAUUUUUAUUUUGGAAUUCAGAUGAGAAUAUUUGCACAAUUUAGAAUAGAUAUGCACGAUUAGUAUAUAUUUAUGCAUAGGUUUAAUUGUCAGCAUGUUUAAUUGUCAGCAUUUCUCAUGGUCGAAACUAUAUGCACAAGUCGACCAAAGAAGGCUGUGGUCAACAGCCCGUAAUUCAACACCCGAUCCGUUGAAGAUGGACCGUAAAAGAUGUCAAUGGGAAGGCUGCUGCUGUCACUACUGACGUUGGUGAUCUCCGUUUCCUGCAAGUUCAUUUCGUUUACUUCUGUCACUACUGACGUCACCCGAUCCGUUUCCUUCUACUACAUCUCACCUGCACCAAGCAGGCAUAUGGAUCUUCGCUAAAGCCUAACACAGCUUCUCCAAGUUCAUUUCAAGUCUAUCUAUUCACUAUUAGAUUUAGGUGAUCACACUCAUGCGAGUUUAGUUGGUCCCGUUGCAAUGCAUACGGACCGGGUAUCCCCCUGGAAUUCUAAAAAAAAAACUCAUGCGAGUUUAGACCUAACAAGAUGGUGUUAGAAUCAUGUGAUUUGAAGCAAAUGGGAGAGAGAGUACCUGGAGUUACACUCAAAGCUGAGAUUAAAGGCCCGUAGUGGCCUUGAGUAGGGAUGCAACAAGUGCCCUUGCCAGCCCAGAACAGAUGAAUUUCAAGGAAGUUUCUAGUGACAGGAAUAAUAUAUUGCUUCUGGACAGCAGCGUAAGAUCCUCUUGCUUCCUUUCUUAUGUCAAAGUUCUGCUCCUUCCGCUCACCCUUUACCAAAAUAAAAAACUCGUGACCAGCUCAAGCUAAAAUGUAAAAACCAAGGGUAGGUUAUUAGUACGACUGGAACUAACCUACCUGUAUAUAGAUAUCAAAAACUCUUUUACCUAAACUUUGCCAAGUCCGUGAGUCCUCAAAGCUAAUCUCUGCAAAUUGAAGCGUUACUACAUAGUUUCCGUUCUCAAGUCCAAUGCCAAAGUAUCUUAAAGACGAAGGCGACAUCCUUGCUCUCUGGAACAGUUCUGAAUCUGGGGUAUUCCGAAACAGGCGUGUUGAGGUGUAUACUGUGUAACUUGCAUUUGAGCUUUGUAUUAUGUAAUCUCUUUCAAAUGCCUCCAUGAACCUCCCAACAUUGCUAACACCCCAUGUUGGUGCUCCUGUAACAUAAUAGGAUGCAGGUCCAAGAUUGGCAUCAUCAGGCAGAUACACGGAACCAUCUGAUCCUGACAUUGAACUACUGCUCCCGCAGUCCACAGCAAAGGAGGUAGCUGCAAGCAUGUUGAAUUAUUUAAUACUGAUGUUAAUUUAGCUAAGUAGACGCACGUUGCAGAAGCUAGAAGCUCACUUUGUGGAGAGCCAAGAAAGCAGGGUGUGUCUCGCUGAAGGCAC